rnacentral:lncRNA from 1 species
CUUAUCCUAAAUAAAGAAAAAUUUGAUGUCGACGUCAUGCCCGACACAAUAUUUACAGACUCAAUAUUAUUGGCAAAAUUAGGACUGUUGACAACCAAAAAGAAUCUUAACAAAGUGGUAAAGGGUUUGGUGGAUGAUUCUUGAGCUCCCAAGGUCGAAUGCUAGUUGAUUCAUAUUUUCAACUAAGUUUAUUUUUUUAAAAAAAUAAAUGAAAGAGAUAGAAUGCUAUCAUUCUCUCUACAAAAAAAGAAAAGAAAAGAAAAUUUA